ACCUGGGUGACUCAAUCGGUUGAGCAUCUGACUUCAGCUCAGGUCAUGAUUUCGUGGUUCGUGGGUUCAAGUCCUGCAUUGGGUU
rnacentral:tRNA from 1 species